AACGAACGCUGGCGGCAGGCUUAACACAUGCAAGUCGAGCGCCCCGCAAGGGGGGCGGCAGACGGGUGAGUAACGCGUGGGAACGUACCCUUUGCUACGGAAUAGCUCCGGGAAACUGGAAUUAAUACCGUAUGUGCCCUACGGGGGAAAGAUUUAUCGGCAAAGGAUCGGCCCGCGGUGGAUUAGCUAGUUGGUGGGGUAAUGGCCUACAAGGGCGACGAUCCAUAGCUGGUCUGAGAGGAUGAUCAGCCACAUUGGGACUGAGACACGGCCCAAACGCCUACGUUAGUCAGCAGUGUGGAAUAUUGGACAAUGCGCGCAAGCCUAAUCCAGCCAUGCCGCGUUAGUGAUGAAGGCCUUAGGGUUGUAAAGCUCUUUCACCGGAGAAGAUAAUGACGGUAUCCGGAGAAGAAGCCCCGGCUAACUUCGUGCCAGCCGCCGCCGUAAAAC
rnacentral:rRNA from 1 species